CCUUCGGGUGGCAGCAGUGAGGAAUAUUGGUCAAUGGACGAAAGUCUGAACCAGCCAUGCCGCGUGCAGGAAGACGGCUCUAUGAGUUGUAAACUGCUUUUGUACAAGGGUAAACCUGAAUACGUGUAUUCAGCUGAAAGUACUGUACGAAUAAGGAUCGGCUAACUCCGUGCCAGCAGCCGCGGUAAUACGGAGGAUUCAAGCGUUAUCCGGAUUUGUUGGGUUUAAAGGGUGCGUAGGCGGAUUCAUAAGUUAGAGGUGAAAUGUCCGGGCUCAACUCGGGAACUGCCUCUAAUACUGUUGAUCUAGAGUUUAGUUGCGGUAGGCGGAAUGUAUGGUGUAGCGGUGAAAUGCAUAGAGAUCAUACAGAACACCGAUUGCGAAGGCAGCUUACCAAACUACGACUGACGUUGAGGCACGAAAGCGUGGGGAGCAAACAGGAUUAGAUACCCGGGUAGUC
rnacentral:rRNA from 1 species